rnacentral:rRNA from 1 species
AUUGAACGCUGGCGGCAUGCCUUACACAUGCAAGUCGAACGGCAGCACGGGUGCUUGCACCUGGUGGCGAGUGGCGAACGGGUGAGUAAUACAUCGGAACAUGUCCUGUAGUGGGGGAUAGCCCGGCGAAAGCCGGAUUAAUACCGCAUACGAUCUACGGAUGAAAGCGGGGGACCUUCGGGCCUCGCGCUAUAGGGUUGGCCGAUAGCUGAUUAGCUAGUUGGUGGGGUAAAGGCCUACCAAGGCGACGAUCAGUAGCUGGUCUGAGAGGACGACCAGCCACACUGGGACUGAGACACGGCCCAGACUCCUACGGGAGGCAGCAGUGGGGAAUUUUGGACAAUGGGUGAAAGCCUGAUCCAGCAAUGCCGCGUGUGUGAAGAAGGCCUUCGGGUUGUAAAGCACUUUUGUCCGGAAAGAAAUCCUUGGCUCUAAUACAGUCGGGGGAUGACGGUACCGGAAGAAUAAGCACCGGCUAACUACGUG